rnacentral:rRNA from 1 species
ACCUGGUUGAUCCUGCCAGUAGUCAUAUGCUUGUCUCAAAGAUUAAGCCAUGCAUGUCUAAGUAUAAGCAAUCUAUACGGUGAAACUGCGAAUGGCUCAUUAAAUCAGUUAUCGUUUAUUUGAUAGUACCUUGCUACAUGGAUACCUGUGGUAAUUCUAGAGCUAAUACAUGCUAAAAGCCUCGACUUCGGAAGGGGCGAAUUUAUUAGAUAAAAGACCAAUGCCCUUCGGGGCUCCUUGGUGAUUCAUAAUAACUCAUCGAAUCGCAUGGCCUUGCGCCGGCGAUGGUUCAUUCAAAUUUCUGCCCUAUCAACUUUCGAUUGUAAGGUAUUGGCUUACAAUGGUUUCUACGGGUAACGGGGAAUUAGGGUUCGAUUCCGGAGAGGGAGCCUGAGAAACGGCUACCACAUCCAAGGAAGGCAGCAGGCGCGCAAAUUACCCAAUCCCGACACGGGGAGGUAGUGACAAUAAAUACUGAUGCAGAGCUCUUUUGGGUUUUGCAAUUGGAAUGAGUACAAUUUAAAUCCCUUAACGAGGAACAAUUGGAGGGCAAGUCUGGUGCCAGCAGCCGCGGUAAUUCCAGCUCCAAUAGCGUAUAUUAAAGUUGUUGCAGUUAAAAAGCUCGUAGUUGAAACUUGGGCCUGGCUGGCCGGUCCGCCUCACCGCGUGCACUGGUCCGGCCGGGCCUUUCCUUCUGGGGAGUCGCAUGCCCUUCACUGGGCGUGCCGGGGAACCAGGACUUUUACUUUGAAAAAAUUAGAGUGUUCAAAGCAGGCCUAUGCUCGAAUACAUUAGCAUGGAAUAAUAGAAUAGGACGUGUGG